rnacentral:rRNA from 1 species
UACGUAGGGUGCAAGCGUUGUCCGGAUUCAUUGGGCGUAAAGAGCUCGUAGGCGGUCUGUCGCGUCUGCUGUGAAAACCCGGGGCUUAACCCCGGGCCUGCAGUGGGUACGGGCAGACUAGAGUGCGGUAGGGGAGACUGGAAUUCCUGGUGUAGCGGUGAAAUGCGCAGAUAUCAGGAGGAACACCGGUGGCGAAGGCGGGUCUCUGGGCCGUAACUGACGCUGAGGAGCGAAAGCGUGGGUAGCGAACAGGAUUAGAAACCCCCGUAGUCC